AUGAACGCUGGCGGCGUGCCUCAUACAUGCACGUCGAGCGAACAGACGAGGAGCUUGCUCCUCUGACGUUAGCGGCGGACGGGUGAGUAACACGUGGAUAACCUACCUAUAAGACUGGGAUAACUUCGGGAAACCGGAGCUAAUACCGGAUAAUAUAUUGAACCGCAUGGUUCAAUAGUGAAAGACGGUUUUGCUGUCACUUAUAGAUGGAUCCGCGCCGCAUUAGCUAGUUGGUAAGGUAACGGCUUACCAAGGCAACGAUGCGUAGCCGACCUGAGAGGGUGAUCGGCCACACUGGAACUGAGACACGGUCCAGACUCCUACGGGAGGCAGCAGUAGGGAAUCUUCCGCAAUGGGCGAAAGCCUGACGGGGCAACGCCGCGUGAGUGAUGAAGGUCUUCGGAUCGUAAAACUCUGUUAUUAGGGAAGAACAAAUGUGUAAGUAACUAUGCACGUCUUGACGGUACCUAAUCAGAAAGCCACGGCUAACUACGUG
rnacentral:rRNA from 1 species